GUCUAGUCUAGCUGCCUCGCUUCCUCCUAUAGCGAUUCUGUCGAGCUGAGCUUUCACGUCUCUCAUCACCGAUCUCCUUCCUACCCCUCGCCUAAGAUCGUCUGACGUCUCGCCUGACACCUUUCGUUGUGUUGGUGCUAUGCGGCUGCUGUCACUGUAGAAGUCAGGUUGUGUGUGUAAAAAAAAACGUAAACAGUGUUGUUGGCUGAUCAAUUUUGGUAAGUUUUUUAAUAAUUAAGUUCUUAAUUUUACGUAAGUAAGUGCCAUUUUAGCUAAAUUAAGUGGUAGAAGUCCUGCCCAAUGCGUGCUGGCUCCGUCGGAAGCGGUUCGUGUAUGUACCGGCGUAGAAAAGUGGCGUGAUGAACAACACAGCACAAGACAGCAGAUAUAAUGCAGAAACGAAAUGGGCCUGCCGCAGGUGUUUGCCACUGUGCGCUGUGUAUGAUUGUGUAUGAUUCGCCAAUUUUCCUCUAUCCUGGAACGUGGGCUUACGAGGAACCAUUUAAGAACAUCCUCCGGAAGCUGUACAGCGACGAGUCGGGCUCUACCAGCACAACACGCUAGAGGCCCAGCCGGUACCGGGUGCCCCGAUUGCGCCGUGAGACG